UUUCCACACACAUUUCAAAUUUCUGUCAGUCCAUUUCUAAUUUCUCUCUCUCUCUUUGUAAAUUCGCUCCUCUAGAUUUCUAAAUUUCCUCCUUAGUACCUGGCUUCUUCAACUCCACCGAGAGAUACAAUUUGUGUGGAUUUUGAAAAAUGGGAGUGGAGAAUUACCAUGUGAUAGAGUUAGUAGGUGAAGGCUCGUUUGGGAAAGUGUACAAAGGCAGGCGCAAGUUCACAGGCCAGACUGUUGCAAUGAAGUUUAUUAUGAAACAUGGGAAAAGUGAGAAGGAUAUACAUAAUUUGAGACAGGAAAUUGAGAUUCUAAGAAAGUUGAAGCAUGAAAAUAUCAUUGAAAUGCUUGAUUCCUUUGAAAGCCCCCAAGAAUUCUGUGUUGUCACUGAAUUUGCGCAGGGUGAACUAUUUGAGAUUCUGGAGGAUGAUAAAUGCCUUCCUGAAGAACAGGUUCAAGCAAUUGCAAAGCAGUUGGUAAGAGCACUGCAUUAUUUGCAUUCCAACCGUAUCAUCCAUCGAGACAUGAAACCACAGAACAUACUCAUAGGUGCUGGGUCAGUGGUUAAGCUUUGUGAUUUUGGAUUUGCACGUGCCAUGUCCACAAAUACUGUGGUUUUGCGAUCCAUUAAAGGCACUCCACUGUACAUGGCUCCAGAGUUGGUACGGGAGCAACCAUACAACCACACUGCUGAUUUAUGGUCUCUUGGAGUUAUAUUGUAUGAAUUAUUUGUUGGCCAGCCCCCAUUUUAUACAAAUUCAGUUUAUGCACUUAUCCGACACAUUGUUAAGGAUCCAGUUAAAUAUCCUGAUGAUAUGAGUCCAAACUUCAAAAACUUUCUAAAGGGAUUGCUAAAUAAGGUACCACAAAAUCGAUUGACUUGGCCUGCUCUUCUUGAGCAUCCAUUUAUAAAGGAAACCUUGGAUGAACUGGAAGCCAGGGAAAUGCAAGCUGCAACUGCCGCAGCCAGGGGAUGUGAUGCAGCAUGGAGAGGUGAGGGAAAUAUGAUCCAAGCAUCAACUGAUGUGGCUGUCUCCAGUCCUGAGGGUAGAAGUAAUUCUGUUGCUGCUGUUCAGAACUGUAAUGCUCCAAAGCUUCAUAAUGAUUCUAAACUGAACAGUCCUAAUGCAGCCACAGGCAAUUCUUCACCACUUGAGGAGUUCCCUGGAUUUGCAAGUCCUAAUGAUGUUAAACAGUCAGGUAGCCAGGCAUUAGACAGAUUGGAAAACAACUCUCGCACAGUUAAAGGUGCUCAACUAAUUGGUCAAGACAAUGAAGCUUUAGCACUUGUUUUGCUACCAUUAAAAAGAUGGUCAAAAGAAUCCCAACAUUCUUGCAGGGAUCAAGAUGUUCCAACUUCAAACCAGUCAUUGAGAAUUCUUUCAAACUUAGCUGCAGCUGGCGCAAUCCAGUCUAGCAGGUUGCUUGACGAAAUAUUAUGUGAACUUCUCGACUUCACUGCCAUAACAAUCAGCUUGAAAUCCUUGGAACUCAAUGAUUUAAUUGCAAAGAGUUUCGUUAUUAUGAAACUGUUAUUAGAUAACAAAGGCGAUGGUAUUGGAGCAUCAUAUUUCACACAUUGGGUUGCCCUAAUUGAAAUUUUUGCGCAGGUUGUCGGUUCCAAUGAGGACACCUCUGGAAGAGUUCUGUAUGAGGCCAGUGCUUGCAUCACAGUUGUGUUAUCAAGAGUAGCUCAGGGUCUUAAAACCACUUCUUUGAAUUCAAGUCCUGAAGCAGUUUCUACUCCAGUUAUGAAUGAAACAAUGAAGCGUAUUUUAGAUCAUGCUAAGACAUGUGGAUUAGUUGAACAUUUAUGCCUUAGUUUAGCAACAUCAGGCUCAAGUCUCAUUUCAGGUUCUACAAAUAUGUUGCGAGCUGCUUGCGAGGCUUGUAGGGCUAUGUGGUCAUUGAUAGAUGCAGUGGAAACUCUUUUCGUGAAGUCAAAUGUGUAUUUAUUUCCACUAAAUGCUUUGUGGAGUCAUUCUUUAGUCCGACUUGACAUUAGAGACCAGGAAAGAGGUUCAUUGACUGGGACAGAUUCAGCCAGAAUUAUUGACGCAGUGACAAGAGCACUCCUAAAAUCAAAGGCUGUGCAGGUGGCUAUUUAUUAUUGCCUUCACCAACGUCUAGAGGCUGUACUCUCUGCUAGUAUUCAGCUUUUGUCAAGGUGCUGCCUGCAUAGUGCAAUUGUGCCUGGUGUUCUGUGUGGUUUGCCUAGUUCUCUUCCUGUUACUACUGUUGUUAGCGGCGGGGGAGAUGGAACUAUUGUUUCUGAGAUCUUCUCCAUUUUAUCUUUGUGUGCUUCCUCUUCAAACAAAGAUAAUCUAAUGGGUGAAACAAAUAACUUCAAGAGCAAACUAGUGAAUCCUUCUGCCCUAAUUUUGCAUUCAUGCCUUAUACUUGCAACAGUUGCUCAGUGUUUGAAGUCAACUGGAAGAAAUUCUGCACUGUUUAUGCUUACAACCUCUCCAAAGAAGCAGCUAUCCCGACUUUCAGUUAUUGCCCAUCAAUUUUCACAUGAUGACAGAACAAAAAGUUCAUUGCAACCUCAUUGUGCCUCAGCCAUGCUGGCUCUUGCAUCCAUUCUAUCUCUUGAAAGUGGAACUUCUGUUGAGUCUUCUAUUUCUGAAAUAGCAGUACCUUUGAUUCCUCGCACUGGCACAAUCUGUGAACACCUCAAGAUUUCAACAGGCAAUGAAAGUGAAAUAGGCCCCAAUAGAGUAAAUAGUGUUCUCUCAUAUUGGCACGGCUUUAGGGAUGGGUGUGUUGGCUUAUUAGAAUCGAGACUGAAAUGGGGAGGUCCAUUAGCUGUACAACAGUUAUGUGCAAGUGGUAUCCCUCUGCUUCUUAUUGAGUUGUUAACCAACAACCAUCUGACUGCCUCUCCUCAAGGAAUGGACAGCACAAAUGAUCGAGUUGGGUUAUCCCCUCUUGGGGUCAUAUGGACAAUAUCAUCGAUAUGCCACUGUCUUCCAGGUGGCAACUCAAUUUUUCGCCAGAUAUUAGUCAAGAGUGAACAUGUCAAGCUCAUUUCGGAGUUGAUAUCUGAUGUGCAUCUCAAGCUCGUGAAGUGCUGGGGUGGGCCAGGUGGAGGGAAGGACGGUGUCAGAGACAUAACAAAUGCAGUAAUUGAUCUCUUAGCCUUUCCUUUUGUUGCUGUACAGAAUGCUCCUGGUUUGCCUUCAGCCACAGCUUCUGUAAGCAGUGGGUUCCUUCUCAGCAUGGGUUCACCUGGUGGGAGAAUAUGCAUGGAAGAUAAGAAUAUGGUUAAAGCAAUUGAGGAAGACAUGGGAAAGUAUCUUAAAAUCCUUCUGGAGGUGGGGGUGCCAGGCAUCAUUCUUCGAUGCUUGGAACAUUUGGAGUUGAAGGAUUUGGGAAGGCCGGUUGCAUUUCUAGCCAAAAUGGUGGCCCACCGGCCUCUUGCAGUUCAACUUGUGGGCAAAGGCCUCUUGGAUCCAAACAGAGUGAGAAGAUUGCUUAAUAACUCAAGUCCAAGGGAGGUCAUGCUGGAUGCUGUGAUGAUUAUUUCUGAUCUAGCUCGUAUGGACAAGGGUUUUUAUGAUCACAUUAAUGGAGCUUCUAUAUUGGAAUUCUUGAAGGAGUUCCUUACGCACGAAGAUCCCAAUGUACGUGCAAAGGCAUGCAGCGCUCUAGGCAACAUGUGUCGGCACAGCUCCUACUUCUAUGGCUCACUGGCAAGACAUCAUAUAAUUGGCCUUCUCAUUGAUCGAUGUGCUGACCCAGAUAAACGCACGCGGAAAUUUGCUUGUUUUGCUAUUGGAAACGCCGCCUACCAUAAUGAAAUGCUGUAUGAUGAGCUACGAAGAUCUAUACCUCAAUUAGCAAAUUUGCUGCUCUCAACCGAAGAAGACAAGACUAAAGCCAAUGCUGCUGGUGCAUUAAGCAAUCUUGUUCGCAAUUCCAACAAACUUUGUGAAGACAUUGUCUCUAAAGGAGCCAUGCAGGCUUUACUAAAGUUGGUGGCUGACUGUUCAGCGAUAGCCUUGAACCCAAGCAGAAGAGAUGCUGUAAAUGAAUCGCCACUAAAGAUAGCUCUUUUUUCAUUGGCAAAGAUGUGUGCGCAUCCUCCCUGCAGACAGUUCCUCCGUUCAUCGGAGUUGUUCCCAGUGAUUGGACAGCUUCGACAGUCUCCAGAAUCUACAAUUGCCAACUAUGCCUCUGUUAUAAUGAGCAAAGUUGCAGAAGCUUGAAGCACCAAAGCUAUAAAUUGUUCAAGGUACAAUGGUAUUAGCUUAGUUUAGUUUCCACUGAGCAAUAUGGCUAAUGCUAAAUGUUUGCCAAAUCUUGGCAAUCAAAAUGAAAUGAAAUACAAAGCAUUAUGAAAAUUUUUCUAUAUAGUUUAUGCUGUAACCUUCAAUUGUGAAAAUUUAAUUUCUUUGACAUUUUGUGGGAAAGCUAAAUAAUAGUUUCCUCUUGUAUUUAUAUGAAAUUCUCUUUCCAUUUG
rnacentral:misc_RNA from 1 species